rnacentral:rRNA from 1 species
UAUUAUAUUAAUAGAUAUUAUAAAAUCUUAAUUAUUAAUAGAUAUAUUCUUUAAAUUUGAAGAAUUUGGCGGUAAUUUAGUCUUGUUAGAGGAACCUGUUUUUGAAUCGAUACUCCACGUAGAAUCUUACUUAUUUUUAUUAAGUUUAUAUACCGUCAUUAUUAGAUAAUUUUUAAAAAAUUAAUUAUUAAAGUUUAACAUAAAAUAAUCUAAAUUAGAUCAAGGUGUAGCCUAUAAAUAAGUUAAAAUGGGUUACAAUAAAAUUUAUUUAAAACGAAACAAAUAUGAGAAAUUAAUUUUGUAGAAGGAGGAUUUAAUUGUAAUAGAAGUUUAAUAAGCCAAAAAGAUAUAAGCUCUAAAUUAU